AUACAACUUUCAACAACGGAUCUCUUGGCUCUCGCAUCGAUGAAGAACGCAGCGAAAUGCGAUAAGUAAUGUGAAUUGCAGAAUUCAGUGAAUCAUCGAAUCUUUGAACGCACCUUGCGCUCUUUGGUAUUCCGAAGAGCAUGCCUGUUUGAGUGUCAU
rnacentral:rRNA from 2 species